rnacentral:tRNA from 7 species
GGUGGGUUGGCUGAGCGGUUGAAGGCACCAGUCUUGAAAACUGGAAGCCGCGAAAGCGGCUCGCAGGUUCGAAUCCUGCACCCACCG